UGCUCUUUGCCUGCUUGGGCAGUGGAAGCAUGGAAUAGCUUACCCUGUUCGUGUCAUGGAAUAAAACAGCAGGGAAAAAGGACAACAGAAAUAGCCCUGCUUGGCAGGCGGCUGAGCGUGAUAAAAGAGAGACUGGUUGUGGCUCGCUGUAUAAAAUUGCUGAGUUAUUCUUGGGUUGCUUGUAUGCAAGCUGAGUGUUCAGUGUUUUACUGAAUAUGGGGCUUUUUUCCUCCCUUAAGAUGAUCAAAAGACAGCUGCUAGGAACACCCCGAGAGCUGAGUGCUGAGCUGGGGUGCUGAAAUUAAUAAACAGGCAAAACCUGAAGCAGUUAAAUUUGUCUGGCUUUACUACGAACCCUCUCCAGAGCUCUGCAUUUCUUUCAGAAACCAAAACCCUGCAGUGUUUAGAGUCCGAGGAGCUGUGAAUUAACAAAAUGUAAUGGAGGAGCCUGACACGCAUGGUUUGGUCAGGCUUGUCCUUUAAGGGAAAAAACUGCAGAGCAGUGGGCAGUUCGGGGAACCAUCGCCCUGUUUAUGUUUUGUUGCUCGCUAGGGAGUGGGAACGCUGGGAAACGCAGGCGCUGCCCUGCAGGCAGAGAACUUUCAGGACCCCCCAUUUAUGUAAGCUUAUAGAUGGCAUUUAUAAAAAAAUGUCUAAAAUAUGUUAUGUAAUGAGAAGGCAAACAAAAUUAAAUGUGUUUAGUAUUUAACAAUCCACAGAGAGAUGAAACUCUGGUUUACUGCGUUACUUCUCUUGGCUGGUUUGCCAAGGCACUGACUGCGGGUUUUACUUCACUGUCUGCAGAAAGGGGUUUCAGUCACCACAGGGGAAUAAGAGGCUUGUAAAAAGCCUGUUUGAUCAGCUGUUGUCACAAGUGAUUCAAAAUUACUUCAAGUGUAUUGAAUGGUUCCUGGGUACAUGGCCGUGCCAUCCCAAGGGGACUUGAGAAGUCAAUUACAGCAGCUCAGCUCCUGCUGAGUGCUCCUGGUCUUGAUGUGCACGGCAUAUUUCUGGAGAUCAGCUUCUUCAUUUCCAGGCUGUAAAACACACAGGACCCCCGAGAAUGAGAAGAUACCAUGGCUUUUCGGUUUUAUCCUGUAGGAACUGAGAGAUUUUCUUUUAUAUGGAUUUUCGUCGGCAUCCAGCGGCAGGAGGGAAAAUUGCACGCCAAGCAUCCUUCCAUAAACAGUGUGGCUCAUCAGCGCUUGCCAGUGCUCAGCACGUUGCUGCCCUUACUGAAGGAUGAUGCUCAAUACCUCUCUGAGUCCCACUCCUGUUGCAACAAACACCCUCCACCUUGCACGUGUGACAGCCUGAUGGACUUAUCGGAAUUGUUCACUACCAAAUAAACAAAACACUCCAUGAAUCUUUGACAGAGCUCUGAAGAUGCUUCUUAUUGUUCCUGUUCGUUCUGUGGCUCAUCUCCCUUGCCCUCACAAAGCCGGAGCUGUACCGACCAACGAACCAGCCACCCUUCCAGCCCAGGAAGACCGAUAGCAGCUCCUCUGUACAGACGGCUGGCACUAUCACCUCACUUGCUCCUCGCCCAGGGAUGGCGUGUUGCUUGCGAUGCCUUUUUACCUGCAGGUGUGCUGGAGGAAAGGGAGCAGCAGUCAAACUGGAAAUUGGACCAGGCAGUGAUUUGCAGUAGGAAGAGAGGUUGUCAGUCCGGAUUUCAUGAAGCAAGGCUUCCAAAUGUUAGCUCUGACUGGGUCUAAGGCCUUCAUCUUGUAAAUGAACUGCAUUGGAAGCACUAUGUACAAGUUACGGCUCCUGUGCUCAGACUAAAUUGUAAAUGUUUGCAGUAAGAUUUUUACAGCUUGCAGCAAAGAAACCAAACUGCAAUGCACCGAUUGUGAAGAUGUUCUUAUCCUAGUGCUUUCUCCAUGUGAGAGAGAGCAUGGAAAGGUCUGAAGAACAGGCUGUAAGUAUACUGUCGCCCGUUACAGCCCUUCUGUCUGGAAGAGACACUGAUAAUAUUAAUGUAGUGUAUUUCUCCAUGUGAUCUUGUUUAUUUACAGAAUAAAGAGAGCAUUUUUUUCCUUUCCUUGAAUAUGGUAGAAACAAAACCAAACAAGUUGUUUCUGGACAUUCACAAGUCUGCGGGUCCUAAAAAGGUCUGACCUCUAAAGGUUCCUCCUCUCUGUAGCUCCUUACUUUUCAUUCUCCUGUAUGAAGCCAACACAAGCACAUCAGCUGUCUGGGCAAGCAGGAAAGUCCAUGAAUUAUGUGAAGUCCUGCCACGGAAAAUAGAUCUGUGGCAGAGGGCUUCCAUCAUUCAUCUGCCUUUACUACAUUAGAAAAAAGUAGUCAUUCUUUCUACUGAAUCUGGAAGAGUACGUCUGUUAUAUUUCUGACUAUAAUGAGACGUGUGGGGACUGUGGAUUAAAGACUUGCCCCAAGGCUGUUAUUAGCAUUUUUCUGUGUAAUAAUCAAGAGACAAAGAUGCAUCAUCUAAUUUAGGUGUUCUUAGCAAGUCAUCCCAAGACAGUGCCCAGAUCUCUAUAUUGAUUGGAUUGGGAGACACAGUAUUGCAGACCUGGAUAGGCGGGGGAUUGACCCACCCAUUGCUCCUCUGUACUUAGAAACUAUAAGAACACCAACAGUUGAAGGCUGUGAUGAAUGGAUAUGUGCCUUUUAGAAGGAGGAGGGUGAGAUGUGCAAGAGGGUUAUGACCUGCACAGAGAGGAGCAGCUCAGUUGCAUGGAGUUCUGCUAUGGCUUAUGUGAUGGGCUGGUCAGGAGCUCAUGGGCCAUGAUCUGAGGGAAGGCCAACACAGGUAACAUGGUAGGCAUCUGCUACAGAUUGCCUGGUCAAAAAGACAAAAUAGAUGAAGCCUUCUCUAGACAAGUGGUAGAAGUGUCACUAUGUCAAAUCCUGGCUUUUAUAGGAUAUACUGACCCACCUGACAUCUGCUGGGUAGGAAACACAGUAGGACGCAAGCAAUCCAUAUUUCUGAAGUGGAUCAGGGACAAUUUCUUGACACAGGUGCUGGACAGGGUGAGUAGGGAGAUGUUCUAAUUAAUUUGCUACUCACUAGCAUGGAAGAAGUGUUUGGGGUUGUGAUGGUUAAUGGCAGCCUCGGAGACACCAAGAGAUGGUAGAAUUCAAGAUGAUGAGAAAACAGAGAAAGCCGAAUAGCAGAACGACAACUCAGGGUUCAGGAGAGAAGACUUUGGCUUGAACUAGCAAGGAGCUUCCCUUUGGCUGUUGCUAUGUAGAGCAAAAGGACACAUAGGGUUACAUGAUCUUCAAGGAUCAUCUCCUCAAAGACCAAGAAUGAUCUGUACUGUAUGCAGGAGGCUAAGCAGACAGUAUAUGAGGCCAGCUUGGGUACCCAGAGAACUGCUGACUGAACUCAAACAUAACACCAAAACAAGCGGGGACAGGCAAUCAAGGAGCAAUGUAGCACUACACAGGUGUGCAGGGAUGGGAUUAAGAAAACCAAAGCUUGACUUGAGAUGACAUUGGUGAUGAUGUGAAGAGCGACAGGAAGGGCUUCUACAUUAGUAGUGAAAGGAAAACCAAGACAGUGCGGGUCUACUGCUGAACAGGGAAGUGAUCUAAUGAUGAAUGACACAUAGAAGUCUGAGGUUCUCAGCAUUUUCAUUGAUAGUCUUUACUAGCAAAGUCUGCUACUAUGUCUAAUUGCAUGUCUAAUGGGAGAGUAGAAGAAAGAGUCAUAACCCACAGUUGGAAACUGUGAUGCUGGGGUCACAUAAGUGAAUUGGACAUACACAAAUCCAUAGCACCAGAUGGGACGCAGGCCAGCCAGCAUACAGAAGAAAAUUCUUCAUAGUGAGGGUUGUCAGGUGCUAAAGCAAGAAGUCCAGAAAGUGUGUGCAAUUUCUCUUCUUGGAUGUGCUCAAACCCCAGUUAGAUGAGGCCUUGAGAGUCUUCCUGUUCUGUUAAGCAGACAAUUCCAUGAGUCCUGCAGAAGUCCUUUCCAACAUAAUUUUUUCUAUGAUCCUUAGUAAGCAUCUGAAUAUAAAUGAAAAAUCCCCAGGAAAUGGGCCUUGAAUUGCACAACAUUGAAUGUAGCAUGGCCUAAAUGCCACACAUCCCCCAAAUGGGCCAUGAGACAUGGGCGUCUAAAGGAGGGGGUAAGUAGAGGUACAGGGACUGCAGCUGCCAGGAAGGUCUCUAACCUCUGCCCAUGAGGGUUAGCAGGGUUUAAACGGUGCUCUCUGCUGCUCCACUCUAGCCUGUCACCUUUUAGAUGUGCUGUAGGUACUCCAGGCCUUCCUGUCUUGAACCUCCCAAUACUGAAGGUGUUGGAGUCACGCCAUCCAAAGACUUCACUAAUCCCUUAAAGAUCUUUCUCCAGGAGUCCUGGGGAGGCUGAGACCUCUCUGAGACUGUGUUAACACAAAUGUGAGCAGCGGUGGCAGCUGAUAGUGGAUAUGUUCUUGUUUUACCAAGCUGGCAAGACAUCACAAUAGCAGUAGAGUGCAGUGAAGGUCUCGCCAGGGGUUAGUCACCAGCAGGCAAGCUCUCAGAUCCCUGGGCACAUAUUCAGGUUGCUAGGGUGGGCUGGCACUUAUGCUACUGUAUCUCGACAGAUCUCAGCACCUAUCCUAGGAACUUGCACAUCCAGUGCACAGUGCAAACAUACCCCAAGAAGACCUUUGUUUUCCUGUAAUGCUUUUACUUGUCCCUAAAUGGCUGCUACUUCAGAUGUUGCACAGCUGCUGGUCCAGCAGGUUCACACCCACAGAAGGGCUACCAGAAGCUCUUCAGGUUUAAUUUAAGUUUAAUCAGUGUUUUGGACAUGUUAACAUUCAUUAUUUCAACACUAUUUCAGAAGGGCUUCCUUGGAGGCUACUUAAUCCUCUGGAGACUUCUGGUUGGAAGCAUAAGCAGAUUUUCCACACCCGUGGCACCAGAAUGUAUCUCUACAAGCAAGACACUCUGUUCCCUGCUGACUGACUCGAUGGAGCCAUGAAUGUCCUGGAGCAAAACUCAGAGAGUUUCUAAAGCCUCUGUGUGGAUGAUGAAAUCUUGGGGAGUAAAACCCUAAAAGAACUGAGCUUAACUUUGCAGUAAGGACAUAACUUCAAAUAGGACAAAUCUGCAUGUGCCUAUUCACAAUUAAGUAGACGUUUUUUGUCAUCUCUUUGAGCAGUCCUUCAUUUUGAUGUUGAGUUUGAACUAUUGGCGGAUGAAAGUCCAAAUGUCAGUCCCACGCAUAAUCUUUCAGAUGAAGUUGUGUGACUAUGGACAUGUGAGAAAGGUUGCUGAGAGCAUAUCUGCAUUAAAAUAAUAGGUUUCUGUGCAAUUCUAACUGUUCAUUUCCAAAAGGUCUUGAUUGCUUUAUUACUGCCUACUUGGCAUGAGUAAAACUAUUUUAUUUUAGUUUUAGACCUCUCCACAGUCAAAACCACCCAACUGUUGUGACUAGAAUAUCACUCAAGAGAGGAUGUUCUCUUCAAAGAAGUUAAAACUGAUGUACAACACUGAGGAGAAGAUUGGUUGCAAGGUGGGGAAGUCAGGUAAAAAUCCAGGAAUCUAGCUUUAAUAUCAAGAGUCAUUUACUGCUUAAAUGGGCUUACAUGGAAUACCAUAAGCAUUACGGGAUAAGAGUUGUCUGUAGAUUAUUUAUUUUUAUUUUUAGCAAAGAUCACUGAAACAUUCCUUUCUAAAUAAACAUUGCUGUACUCAGGAGAGUAAAAGAGUUAUCGUGUGAGAAUAGCCAAAUUGGCUCUAAGUUUUGGAUUUCUUCAUAGUGUUCUAAUUCAAACCAGAAUAAGCAAAGGAAAAAAAGGAAGCAGUGGAAUAGUGACUUUGUAGCAUAAAAGAACAGAAUUCAAUUGUUAAGAGGACAUCUACAAACAUCACUAUUAAAACAUUGUUUUACCUUUCCAAUGAAGAAACUUGUCUGUAUAUUGUAUUUUGACAGAAUAUUUUUCUGUUGUUUCACAUUCUCGUCUGAAGUAUCCAAGCCAAACUGAUCCCUGAUGAAUUAAUAUCGAUGGUGUCACACACCAGAAGUGUGGUUCUUUCAGUGUCAUUACUCUAGGAUCAAAGUAAUAUUUAAUUGGUCUGGUUUGCAGAACUGCCCCCUGCCUCUCACUCAAGCCAUUCACUGCAAUUCAUAGGCGUUUUGGACCUGUCACAUCCUUCUCUUUCCUCACUUUCCCAAGCACCACAGACUUUCUCACCCAAAUUGGUGAGAUACGUUCAGACAAAAUAUGCCGCUUGGCUUAGCCCAGAUCUUUCAGCUGUGCUUCUGCUUCACAAUGAAAUCACCCAUUUGUAUGUUUUAGUUCAUUUGCACCAUCUAUAAAUCCUCUCUUGGGGUACAGAGCACAGCACAUGGCCUGGCUGAAACUUCCAAAAGGGGACCUGUGAGCUGCUAAAGAAACCCUGUGGUUGUAAGGGAGAGCUGGAGAGAGAGAGGAGUCCAUAGGAGGGCUCAUGUUUUGCCAGGGAUCUUCAUAGCUCUGAGAGGGUCGGCAGACUUUGGAGACCAAGGACUGUUAACGCAACAGUGCACUUAGAAAUAGGUCCGUGCUCCCUCACUGUCUUGGAGAGACAGAGGGGAAAACUCAUGUUUUUGCAGUCACAUAAUACAUGCUUUUUGUCUUCCAGGGGAAGACAAAGACCCUGUACAGCAAGUACAUGCCAGCCAGCAGAAGGCACUUUCAAGGCACAGCAUGACAUUAUUUAGGUCUCACAAAAUGUAGUACCUUUGCCAUCUGUCCUUGAGUGUCUUUUACUAGCACUGUGUUUAUUUAUACUCAAACAACUAAAGCACCCUCUGUAACAACAUCAAUAAUUCUCAAUGCAGUGGCAUUUGUAGCGGUGAGAAAGACGCAGGAGCUGGCCCCCAACAGUAGCAGACUGUCCAGAGAGCUUGAUGAUCCUUGGCUUGCUCUCACUAGGAAAAGGAAUGGAAAGAGGGAGAUGGAGCUCUGAAAUGCAAGCUGUAAAGGUAUCUCCAAAGAGGCUUAGUGUUUUUGCCAGGACAAUGAAAAAUGUUUUACAAGAAAUCCAAUAGGUUUAUAGGAAACUUGAAGAUUAUGAAUGUCAAGAGCUUCUCAUCCUUACAAGGCAAAGCUGUUAGUACUGUGCUUCUCCUAGCUGCUUCCUGAGGUAUCCCAUGCUUACCAAAUUCCUCAGCUCCCU